rnacentral:rRNA from 1 species
GAUGAACGCUAGCGGCAGGCCUAAUACAUGCAAGUCGAGGGGUAUGGGUUGCUUGCCACCCCGAGACCGGCGCACGGGUGCGUAACGCGUAUGCAAUCUACCUUAAUCAGGGGGAUAGCCCGGAGAAAUCCGGAUUAACACCGCAUAACAUUGAGUUGUGGCAUCACAGUUCAAUCAAAUAUUUAUAGGAUUAAGAUGAGCAUGCGUGACAUUAGUUAGUUGGUGAGGUAACGACUCACCAAGACCACGAUGUUUAGGGGAUCUGAGAGGAUGACCCCCCACAAUGGUACUGCGACACGGACCAGACUGGUACGGGAGGGAGCAGUAAGGAAGACAAGUCAAGGGGCGCAAGCCUGAACCAGCCAUGCCGCGUGCAGGAAGACUGCCCUAGGGGUUGUAAACUGCUUUUGAACCGGAAUAAUCCUUCUCUAGCGAGAGAAGCUGAACUUACGGUAAGAAUAAGGAUCGGCUAACUCCGUG